UACGUAGGUGGCAAGCGUUGUCCGGAAUUAUUGGGCGUAAAGCGCGCGCAGGCGGUCCUUUAAGUCUGAUGUGAAAGCCCACGGCUCAACCGUGGAGGGUCAUUGGAAACUGGGGGACUUGAGUACAGAAGAGAAGAGUGGAAUUCCACGUGUAGCGGUGAAAUGCGUAGAGAUGUGGAGGAACACCAGUGGCGAAGGCGACUCACUGGCUCGGUACUGACGCUGAGGCGCGAAAGCGUGGGGAGCAAACAGG
rnacentral:rRNA from 1 species